UACGUAGGGUGCGAGCGUUAAUCGGAAUUACUGGGCGUAAAGCGUGCGCAGGCGGUUCUGAAAGUCAGCUGUGAAAGCCCCGGGCUUAACCUGGGAACUGCGGUUGAAACUACAGGACUAGAAUCUGGCAGAGGGGGGUGGAAUUCCACGUGUAGCAGUGAAAUGCGUAGAGAUGUGGAGGAACACCGAUGGCGAAGGCAGCCCCCUGGGCUGAGAUUGACGCUCAGGCACGAAAGCGUGGGGAGCAAACAG
rnacentral:rRNA from 1 species